GGUUAAGCGACUAAGCGUACACGGUGGAUGCCCUGGCAGUCAGAGGCGAUGAAGGACGUGCUAAUCUGCGAAAAGCGACGGCGAGGUGAUAUGAACCUUUGACCCGUCGAUGUCCGAAUGGGGAAACCCAGUGUGAUCCGUCACACUAUCGUUAACUGAAUACAUAGGUUAACGAGGCGAACCGGGGGAACUGAAACAUCUAAGUACCCCGAGGAAAAGAAAUCAACCGAGAUUCCCCCAGUAGCGGCGAGCGAACGGGGAGCAGCCCGGAGUCUGAAUCAGCUUGUGUGUUAGUGGAAGCGUCUGGAAAGUCGCACGGUACAGGGUGACAGUCCCGUACACGAAAAUGCACAGGUUGUGAACUCGAAGAGUAGGGCGGGACACGUGGUAUCCUGUCUGAAUAUGGGGGGACCAUCCUCCAAGGCUAAAUACUCCUGACUGACCGAUAGUGAACCAGUACCGUGAGGGAAAGGCGAAAAGAACCCCGGCGAGGGGAGUGAAAAAGAACCUGAAACCGUGUACGUACAAGCAGUGGGAGCACCUUCGGGUGUGACUGCGUACCUUUUGUAUAAUGGGUCAGCGACUUAUAUUCUGUAGCAAGGUUAACCGUAUAGGGGAGCCGCAGGGAAACCGAGUCUUAACUGGGCGUUAAGUUGCAGGGUAUAGACCCGAAACCCGGUGAUCUAGCCAUGGGCAGGUUGAAGGUUGGGUAACACUAACUGGAGGACCGAACCGACUAAUGUUGAAAAAUUAGCGGAUGACCUGUGGCUGGGGGUGAAAGGCCAAUCAAACCGGGAGAUAGCUGGUUCUCCCCGAAAGCUAUUUAGGUAGCGCCUCGUGAACUCAUCUUCGGGGGUAGAGCACUGUUUCGGCUAGGGGGCCAUCCCGGCUUACCAACCCGAUGCAAACUACGAAUACCGAAGAAUGUUAUCACGGGAGACACACGGCGGGUGCUAACGUCCGUCGUGAAGAGGGAAACAACCCAGACCGCCAGCUAAGGUCCCAAAGUCAUGGUUAAGUGGGAAACGAUGUGGGAAGGCACAGACAGCCAGGAUGUUGGCUUAGAAGCAGCCAUCAUUUAAAGAAAGCGUAAUAGCUCACUGGUCGAGUCGGCCUGCGCGGAAGAUGUAACGGGGCUAAACCAUGCACCGAAGCUGCGGCAGCGACACUAUGUGUUGUUGGGUAGGGGAGCGUUCUGUAAGCCGUUGAAGGUGUGCUGUGAGGCAUGCUGGAGGUAUCAGAAGUGCGAAUGCUGACAUAAGUAACGAUAAAGCGGGUGAAAAGCCCGCUCGCCGGAAGACCAAGGGUUCCUGUCCAACGUUAAUCGGGGCAGGGUGAGUCGACCCCUAAGGCGAGGCCGAAAGGCGUAGUCGAUGGGAAACAGGUUAAUAUUCCUGUACUUGGUGUUACUGCGAAGGGGGGACGGAGAAGGCUAUGUCAGCCGGGCGACGGUUGUCCCGGUUUAAGCGUGUAGGUGUGUGUUCCAGGCAAAUCCGGUUCACUUUAACACUGAGGCGUGAUGACGAGGCACUACGGUGCUGAAGUGAUAAAUGCCCUGCUUCCAGGAAAAGCCUCUAAGCAUCAGGUAACACGAAAUCGUACCCCAAACCGACACAGGUGGUCAGGUAGAGAAUACCAAGGCGCUUGAGAGAACUCGGGUGAAGGAACUAGGCAAAAUGGUGCCGUAACUUCGGGAGAAGGCACGCUGAUAUGUAGGUGAAG
rnacentral:rRNA from 1 species